rnacentral:rRNA from 1 species
AGUGAACGCUGGCGGUAGGCCUAACACAUGCAAGUCGAACGGCAGCACAGUAAGAGCUUGCUCUUACGGGUGGCGAGUGGCGGACGGGUGAGGAAUACAUCGGAAUCUACUUUUUCGUGGGGGAUAACGUAGGGAAACUUACGCUAAUACCGCAUACGACCUACGGGUGAAAGCAGGGGAUCUUCGGACCUUGCGCGAUUGAAUGAGCCGAUGUCGGAUUAGCUAGUUGGCGGGGUAAAGGCCCACCAAGGCGACGAUCCGUAGCUGGUCUGAGGGGAUGAUCAGCCACACUGGAACUGAGACACGGUCCAGACUCCUACGGGAGGCAGCAGUGGGGAAUAUUGGACAAUGGGCGCAAGCCUGAUCCAGCCAUACCGCGUGGGUGAAGAAGGCCUUCGGGUUGUAAAGCCCUUUUGUUGGGAAAGAAAAGCAGCAGGUUAAUACCCCGCUGUUCCGACGGUACCCAAAGAAUAAGCACCGGCUAACUUCGUG